GCUAGCUAUUAGUAGUUUUUUAUGUUAUGUAGCUUUGGCACCUCCACCGAGGCAUCAGCACCCGCGGUGCUUUCAUUUAUAUUGGUGCUACUUAUUGUCAUUGUCAUUGACUUUUGAGACAAUUAAUUAGUGGGAGGGGGCGGGGCUGGUGUUUCCCUCUUAGGCUAAAGGGAAAUGAAUUAAACACCAGCCCCGCCCCCUCCUCUCCUUACUUCUGACUUUUGAUGGUGCCACGUGGAUCAGAAACAAAAGAGAAAAGUAUUCAAAGCAAGAAGACUGAGUGCAGGCUUAAAGAGUCUAGCUGUGUGUUGUCAGAUGAGGCUGUGUGGUGAGUAGCUCUAUCACAAGUCAGUGGAGGACCAGGAGAGGAGCAUCCUAGAGAGGAAUAGGAAGAUACAGCACGCCAUUAUGGUGUGUGAUAGGGCAUGCCUGACAGAGUGUGGUGGUCCGGGGGCUGACAGCUGUAAGGAGUGUGCCCUGUGAUAUGAGGAGGUGGAGGGAUCUUGUACAGAUAUUGAUGAGUGUAGAGAAGAUGACUCCAUCUGUUCUGAUGGUACCUACUGUCUCAACACCCUGGGGAAGCAUCACUGUCAGGGUGUUAUAUGUGACAGGGCCUAGGAAAACAACCCUUAUGGAGCAAACUAAUAAUGUUCAGUACGCUACAAAGUAAAAUAUUUAGAGCUAUUUUAGGAUUUUGGUUUUCUUUCAUAAGAAGUAACUUCAAUAUCUCCUCUAACUUAAAAAAAAAUUUUUUUAUCCGAAAUUUUUUUUGUAUAGCCGUUAAAUGGCUGCCAUUGAAUUUGUUCAUGCUGUUCUUGUAUGCGGAUAGAA